AUGCUCUCUUCAGCAGCACAUAUACUAAAGUUGGAACAAUACAGAGAAGAUUAGCAUGGCCCCUGCUCAAGGAUGACACACAAAUUCCUGAAAAAUAAAAAAGAAAA
rnacentral:snRNA from 1 species